GGUCUUCCUUCAGAAAUGCAAACAUUUGCUCCUCAGCUGUAGGUUUAUAUACUCUCUAUAGCAAAUGCUGAAAAAUACUGCCAUAGUUGAGCUCACUUUAUAGCUGGGAGUGCUAAGCAUCCAGUAAAUGCAAGCAACAAGCAGGUUCCUGUUGCUGAAGGUCUACAAAGGUCGGUAUUCAACAGACUGCAAUAACUUGGUUGGUACACAUUGCCCACCAUUGCCAGUGCUUCACUUUGUACUGAUCAGAAAUGUUGAACAUGAUCCCCUGAACAAGAAAACACCCUGUUUCUAUGGGAGAAAUAGGAAAAUGAGAACAUUUUACCUACAAGAUCUCCUGUGCAGCUGGAAAAUAGGGCAUCAUUAUCUGUCAAGAAGGACUGCCAUAGAUCUACAGACUGAGAAACAAAUGCAGAAGGGUUAUAUCAGGAUAAUUUUACAUUUUGGAUGGCUGUAGAGAAGAGUGUCGUGAGCUGAAUAAGGAACUGCUGGAUCAUCUUCUCUCAGUAAGUGCUGAAUAAAUACAUGUGAAAUUUUUGCUUGGAAGCCCUAGCUGUGAAUUUCUGGGGAACCUGUGGAGAGCUGGACCCUAAAAGGAUAUGGGGGAAGAUUUUAAAAAGCAUGUAGAUAUUCCUGAAAUUUCAGGUAAUGGAAGGCUCUAAUUCUCAACAUAGUGUUAGGGUGAUAAAGGCACACAGAUGUUCCAAUUGGGAACUUGCUCUCAUUAACAGUUGGGCAAUUUGGAAUGAGGGCCUCAGUGCUGGGAGAUCUGAAAGUAAUGAACUCCAAGCCCAUCCUUGGCACAUCAAGACAGUUAUUGUACUUUCCACUAGUUCACUCAGUUAAUGUUCAUGUUCGUGGGAAAGGAAAUAUGCAGAAGGAUAUUUUUGGAAAUCUGCCCAGUGUGAACUACUUAGUAAUAUGCCUGCUUCCAACACAUUAGAUAACUGAGGCAAUCCACCUUCCACAUAAGGACAAGAGCCUGGAAAAUUAAAUUAUUUCUACAAACAGGUAUUUGUAAGGCUAGGAGAUUUUUAUAUCCAUGUACACAUGAGACAUUGAAACAGCAAAUUUUCAGAGUAUGCUUGCCUGAUGCUUUACUGAACCUUCAGGUUCUCCUUACUUUACACGGACAUUUAUUUUCUUCUUAAUUGAGAGACAUCUUAUCAAGUCACUGAUAGCAACUACUAUAUUCUAUUUGACUUGCAAUGUGACUAGACUAUGUUUUCUCCAAAAUGAAAGAAAAAGUCUGUUCAAAAGAAAUAGAUCAUAAGAAGGAAAAAAAAAAAA